UUUUGUGUGACAUGUACAGGAUAGGUAGGAGCCGUUGAUAUCGGAACGCUAGUUUCGAUGGAGGCAUUGGUGGGAUACUACCCUUGUUAUAUGAAAGCUCUAACCUACACCAUUUAGCGUGGUGAGGGACAGUGUCUGGUGGGCAGUUUGACUGGGGCGGUCGCCUCCUAAAAUGUAACGGAGGCGCUCAAAGGUUCUCUCAGAAUGGUUGGAAAUCAUUCGCAGAGUGUAAACGUAUAAGAGAGCUUGACUGCGAGACUGACAAGUCGAGCAGGGACGAAAGUCGGAGUUAGUGAUCCGGUGGUACCAUAUGGAAGGGCCAUCGCUCAACGGAUAAAAGCUACCCUGGGGAUAACAGGCUUAUCUCCCCCAAGAGUUCACAUCGACGGGGAGGUUUGGCACCUCGAUGUCGGCUCAUCGCAUCCUGGGGCUGUAGUCGGUCCCAAGGGUUGGGCUGUUCGCCCAUUAAAGCGGUACGCGAGCUGGGUUCAGAACGUCGUGAGACAGUUCGGUCCCUAUCCGUCGCGGGCGUAGGAAAUUUGAGAGGAGCUGUCCUUAGUACGAGAGGACCGGGAUGGACAUACCUCUGGUGUACCAGUUGUGCCGCCAGGCGCAUCGCUGGGUAGCUACGUAUGGACGGGAUAAACGCUGAAAGCAUCUAAGUGUGAAGCCCCCCUCGAGAUGAGAUUUCCCAUUCCUUUAUGGAAGUAAGAUCCGUUAAAGAACAUGACGUAGAUAGGCUGCGGGUGGAAGUGUAGCGAUACAUGGAGCUGAGCAGUACUAAUAGAUCGAGGACUUAAUCGA
rnacentral:rRNA from 1 species